GGGGGCGGCAUGGUGCUGGUGUGCCUACUGGACUUCAAAUCCAGAUAUUUCGGGAGGACCCGGAAUGGUAGGUUCGAUUCCUACACGCCUCC
rnacentral:tRNA from 1 species